AAGGAAAUGGAAGACGUUUGGUCAUGUCUUAUUUAAGUUUUGAAGCGGUCUUAUUUAAGUCAUGAACACACGUUAAGAAAUCUGUAUGAAAAUAGGAAAUUGACGCUGUGUGCUUGCACAGAAGGAAAAUUUAUCUAUUUUCACUAAGAUUUUAGUUCAGAAUACUAUUAAGCUUCACGUAAUAGAACUACGUACCACACACUAAUAAUAGUAACAACCAAGUUUAUAAGUCGGGGCCUUAGCUCAGCUGGGAGAGCGCCUGCUUAGCACGCAGGAGGUCAGCGGUUCGAUCCCGCUAGGCUCCAUUAUCUAGGAUACAAAGAGAUGUUCGGCUUGCCGAAAUUUCUGUAGAAAAUUAGGAAUCUGACACAGUGUGCUUGCACACAAGGAAGGUUAUCUAUUUUCCUAAGAAAUUAAUCUCGUGUUCAACUAGAUAAAUGAUAUUUGAAUACGAACCUAAACUUACUAGAAAUAAGUCAAAACCAUCUCGUGUCUGAAGACACAUCACUGGUUUGUUCCUUAUUUUACGCAAGUUUUACGACAAGUCGUAACGGUUCUUAAUAUCAUAAUAGUCCAUUGAAAAUUGAAUAACUAUAUCAAAUUCCACGAUCAUACAAAUGAUUGUAGAAAAGUAACAGAAAUAAACCGAAAAAAAGAUAAACGCGAACAUAUUAAAAAAUAAGAAGGUCGAAAGACUGGAAUAA
rnacentral:tRNA from 1 species